rnacentral:rRNA from 1 species
UAAGCAUAUCAAUAAGCGGAGGAAAAGAAACCAACAGGGAUUGCCUUAGUAGCGGCGAGUGAAGCGGCAAAAGCUCAAAUUUGAAAUCUGGCGGCCUCGUCGUCCGAGUUGUAAUUUGAAGAAGGUAUCUUUGGGUCUGGCGCUUGUCUAUGUUCCUUGGAACAGGACGUCACAGAGGGUGAGAAUCCCGUGCGAUGAGCAGUCCAGAUCCGUGUAAAGUUCCUUCGAAGAGUCGAGUUGUUUGGGAAUGCAGCUCUAAGUGGGUGGUAAAUUCCAUCUAAAGCUAAAUAUUGGCGAGAGACCGAUAGCGAACAAGUACAGUGAUGGAAAGAUGAAAAGAACUUUGAAAAGAGAGUGAAAAAGUACGUGAAAUUGUUGAAAGGGAAGGGCUUGCGAUCAGACUUGGUAUUUUGUAUGUCUUGCUUUCGGGCGGGGCCUCUGCAGUUUACUGGGCCAGCAUCGGUUCGGGUGGCAGGACAAUUGCGGAGAAAUGUGGCACGG